UUACGGUCAAAUCACGCUGAAAACACCGGUUCUCGUUCGAUCACCGAAGUUAAGCAUCGUAGAAGGUCAGUACUUAGAUGGGGACCGCUUGGGAACACCUGGUACU
rnacentral:rRNA from 1 species